UACGUAGGGGGCAAGCGUUGUCCGGAUUUAUUGGGCGUAAAGAGCGUGUAGGCGGCCAGACAGGUCCGUUGUGAAAACUCGAGGCUCAACCUCGAGAUGUCGAUGGAAACCGUCUGGCUAGAGUCCGGAAGAGGAGUGUGGAAUUCCUGGUGUAGCGGUGAAAUGCGUAGAUAUGUGGAGGAACACCGAUGGCGAAGGCAGCCCCCUGGGCUAACACUGACGCUCAUGCACGAAAGCGUGGGGAGCAAACAGG
rnacentral:rRNA from 1 species